AUUCAGUGAAAGGGAUUGGAGGCUAGGGUUCGAGAGAGAACGAGUGUGAUAGGGAGAGAGAGAGAAUGAGUUCGAUCUAGUGAGAGAGUGAACGAUAGAUCAAGUGAGGUAGCGAAGAAUCACCGAUUGCCGAAACGGAGAAGAUGAAGGCUAGGUUUGGUUUCGAAUUUCGAUUUCGCGUGCGUGGCUGAGAGAAGAUGGGGUGUUUUUUGUUAUGUCGUGACUUAUAAUAAUUUCCAUUAAAAAAAAAUACUUUAAUACUUUUUAUAUCUGAGCAUAUUAUGGGCCAGAUGUAUACAUAUUUUAGAGAAUUUUGGAAAUAAUUACAGGAUUGCCACCGCGUUUAGUUUGGUAUCCGGGGAUAUUAAGCUCAGAUGUAAAAAGUUGUCUCUAUGUAUUUUUCACUUAUGUGGAUAUUGAUACCAGAUGUAAACACUACUCCAUAUUCCUUUUCACAUCUGACAUAGCUUCCACUGAUGUAAAACCGUUAAGUAAUAUGUAAUAUUUGUACUAGU
rnacentral:lncRNA from 1 species